AACGAACGCUGGCGGCAUGCCUAACACAUGCAAGUCGAACGAGACCUUCGGGUCUAUUGGCGCACGGGUGCGUAACGCGUCGGAACCUUCCCUUAUGUUCGGAAUAACUCCCCGAAAGGGGUGAUAAUACCGGAUCAUGUCUUCGGACCAAGGAUUUAUUGCCUUUGGAUGGGCCCGCGUUGGAUUAGCUAGUUGGUAGGGUAAAAGCCUACCAAGGCGACGAUUCAUAGCUGGUCUGAGAGGAUGAUCAGCCACACUGGGACUGAGACACGGCCCAGACUCCUACGGGAGGCAGCAGUGCGGAAUAUUGGACAAUGGGCGAAAGCCUGAUGCAGCACUGCCGCGUGAGUGAUGAAGGCCUUAGGGUUGUAAAGCUCUUUUACCCGGGAUGAUAAUGACAGUACCGGGAGAAUAAGCCACGGCUAACUCCGUG
rnacentral:rRNA from 1 species